UUCAAUCGUAUUAAAUUUUGAAGAGAGAGAAGAAAAGGAAAAGAUUGGUCGAUUAAUGGCGUUUGGCAGCUCCAAGUGGGUCAAAUCUAAACAAUUUGAUUGAUAAGUCAUGAAGCAGGGACUUCAUUAAGGCUAAAAGCAUUCAACAAGGAUCUUCAAUAGUGAGUUUCAGGGAUACUCAACAAAGACCGGGAUGAUCAGUCCGACAUGCUGCCCGAGUACCAAGACGUUUCAAGGCCACUUUCCUGGGAUCAACUUAGGUCCACACAGAAAAGGUAGACGAGACACUAUACUGGACCCAUGAAUCAAGUAGAGGGAGAGAAACAAGUAGGGCUAGAAUUAGGCUCGGGCUGGGCCGGCUUUGGGUCGGCUUGAAAAUGUUCAUAUAAGACUUAGUGCUUAAAUAUAGAGCUUAUUUAUUUUCGAGCCAGCCUUAGGAAUUAAUUAGCCUGUGCUCGAGCUUGAGGCCAGA
rnacentral:lncRNA from 1 species